rnacentral:rRNA from 1 species
UACGGAGGAUGCGAGCGUUAUCCGGAUUUAUUGGGUUUAAAGGGUGCGUAGGCGGAUCGUUAAGUCAGUGGUCAAAUUGAGGGGCUCAACCCCUUCCCGCCAUUGAAACUGGCGAUCUUGAGUGGAAGAGAAGUAUGCGGAAUGUGUGGUGUAGCGGUGAAAUGCAUAGAUAUCACGCAGAACCCCGAUUGCGAAGGCAGCAUGCCGGCUUCCUACUGACGCUGAAGCACGAAAGCGUGGGGAUCGAACAGG